AUAUUGCGCAAUGGACGAAAGUCUGACGCAGCGACGCCGCGUGUGGGAGGAAGCCUUUCGGGGUGUAAACCACUGUCAGAGGGGAAGAAUUCCGCAGGACCGAACAGGUCCGGCGGGUGACGGUACCCUCAAAGGAAGCGCCGGCUAACUCCGUGCCAGCAGCCGCGGUAAGACGGAGGGCGCAAGCGUUGUUCGGAAUUACUGGGCGUAAAGCGCGGGCAGGCGGUCUGUUAAGUCGUUUGUGAAAACCCGGGGCUCAACCCCGCGGAAUGCAGACGAUACUGGCAGGCUGGAGACCAGUAGAGGCUAGCGGAAUUCCUGGUGUAGCGGUGGAAUGCGUAGAUAUCAGGAAGAACACCUGUGGCGAAGGCGGCUAGCUGGGCUGGGUCUGACGCUCAUCCGCGAAAGCGUGGGGAGCAAACAGG
rnacentral:rRNA from 1 species